AGGCCGUGCAGGUAGAGAAGCUGCAGUUAGCAGCAACUUGAAGCCAGAGUCUCUUAAACACAUCCAGAAAGUCCAUGAGUUCAUAUUUGACAAGGUUCAGAGUUCAACAGAACAGCGGAGCUGAGAAACCAGACCAGGAGCCAGGUAAAAAGGUAAGUGAUUCUAUUUUUAUUUACAGGUGAGGAUCGGGACGUCUUGCUGAAAGAAGAGUGAAGUGCAGAGGUUCUUUGGAGGUGAGCAGCAUGGACCAGAGGAGAGUUUCCAAACAGGGAGGAAUCGUUGAGUGGUGAGUGACCAGACUGGUGGUUCUGAAAAACAACUUGACACCUUGGAUACAAAAGAGCAUGAAGGUAAGUUCUAAGGUUCUUCAGAAAACACUUGUGGUGGCUAGUACUCUACCUGAGAGGUUAGAUGCAUCAGYGUGGACCAGUCGGUGAAGGUGCCUUAUAAAGCUCAUCAGCUCGUCAAGAUGCGGCCGAUCAGGCAGAGAACCAAUCAGCCAUGAGCCAAG